rnacentral:rRNA from 1 species
AUGGCGUCGCGUCGCUCCCGUGACGCCCGCGACCCGGUGCUGGACAUGGUCUUCCAGGCGGCCUCCGGCGACAACCUCCCCCUCUUCAAGGCGCUGGUCACGGUGCUGGACAUGGGCAGGGGCCGCCCCAAGGAGGCGAUUGAGGCGUUGAGGGUGCAAGAGGCUGGGAAGCUCCAAGGUUUCAGCGCGCUGCACGUCGCCGCCACUAGAGGGAGCCUGCGGGUGUGCAGGUACCUCGUCGAGGAGCUGCUGAUAGAUGUGGAUCUGGUCGACAAGGAAGGUAGAACACCUCUGUUGUUUGCAACAUACCACAAUGGGGGUACUGCCGAGUAUCUUCUUGAUCAUGGUGCUGAUCAAGACAAAGCCAAUAAUGAUGGGAUUUCCCUGUUACAUUAUGCCGCUGAAUCAGGCAAUUGUGAAAUGCUAGAGCUUUUGCUUGCAAAAGGAGCUUAUGUUGACCCGGUAGCUCCUCAUGGAACACCACUUCAUGGUGCUGCUGGUGAAGGGCAAUAUGGUGCUGUGAAGAUUUUAUUGGACCACAAUGCAGAUUACAACAAGAUGGUAAAUGGUGUGACACCUCUUAUGGCUGCUAGAGAUGCCAACUCAACAGAAUGUAUCAAGCUCCUAGUUAAGGUUCAGGAGGAGCCCAUGCUUAAACGGGAAAUCAUGGCAUCAGAGCUUAUAUCACUAGGGAGUAUCUCUUUAAAGAAGAAAGAUUAUGCUGUUGCAGCAAAAUUGUACAGUCGGGCAAUGCAGCUUGAUCCUGAUGAUGCAGUCUUGUUCUCAGACAGGAGCUUUUGUUGGCUUCACAUGGGCGAUGGAAGAAAGGCUUUGCUAGAUGCUAAUAAAUGCAGAAAAAUGCGGCCUCACUGGCCAAAAGCUUGUCGCCAGCAGGGUGAAGCUCUGAUGCUACUGAAGGACUAUGAGGGCGCAAGUGAAUGGUUCUUGGAUGGUCUCAAAUUGGACCCAGUGGACACUGACAUCGAGGAUGCAGUACGGGAAGCUAUGAAGUCCUUGAAGGAAGGGGAGCCUUGGCGCAGUGGUAAAGCUGCUGCCUUGUGA